AUUGAACGCUGGCGGCAUGCCUUACACAUGCAAGUCGAACGGUAACAGGUCUUCGGAUGCUGACGAGUGGCGACCGGGUGAGUAAUACAUCGGAACGUGCCUAGUAGUGGGGGAUAACUACUCGAAAGAGUGGCUAAUACCGCAUGAGAUCUACGGAUUAAAGCAGAGGAUCGCAAGCCCUUGUGCUACUAGAGCGGCCGAUGGCAGAUUAGGUAGUUGGUGGGAUAAAAGCUUACCAAGCCGACGAUCUGUAGCUGGUCUGAGAGGACGAUCAGCCACACUGGGACUGAGACACGGCCCAGACUCCUACGGGAGGCAGCAGUGGGGAAUUUUGGACAAUGGGCGAAAGCCUGAUCCAGCAAUGCCGCGUGCAGGAUGAAGGCCUUCGGGUUGUAAACUGCUUUUGUACGGAACGAAAAGCUCUGGGUUAAUACCCUGGGGUCAUGACGGUACCGUAAGAAUAAGCACCGGCUAACUACGUGCCAGCCGCCGCAGUAACAC
rnacentral:rRNA from 1 species